AUUGAACGCUGGCGGCAUGCCUUACACAUGCAAGUCGAACGGCAGCACGGGAGCAAUCCUGGUGGCGAGUGGCGAACGGGUGAGUAAUAUAUCGGAACGUGCCCAGUCGUGGGGGAUAACGUAGCGAAAGCUACGCUAAUACCGCAUACGAUCUAUGGAUGAAAGCGGGGGAUCGCAAGACCUCGCGCGAUUAGAGCGGCCGAUAUCAGAUUAGGUAGUUGGUGAGGUAAAGGCUCACCAAGCCGACGAUCUGUAGCUGGUCUGAGAGGACGACCAGCCACACUGGGACUGAGACACGGCCCAGACUCCUACGGGAGGCAGCAGUGGGGAAUUUUGGACAAUGGGCGCAAGCCUGAUCCAGCAAUGCCGCGUGCAGGAUGAAGGCCUUCGGGUUGUAAACUGCUUUUGUACGGAACGAAACGGUGAGCUCUAAUACAGUUUGCUAAUGACGGUACCGUAAGAAUAAGCACCGGCUAACUACGUG
rnacentral:rRNA from 1 species